ACGGCGAGUGAAGCGGCAACAGCUCAAAUUUGAAAUCUGGCGCAAGCCCGAGUUGUAAUUUGUAGAGGAUGCUUCUGGCGCGGCGCCUUCCGAGUUCCCUGGAACGGRACGCCAUAGAGGGUGAGAGCCCCGUACGGUCGCGCGCUAAGCCUCUGUGAAGCUCCUUCGACGAGUCGAGUAGUUUGGGAAUGCUGCUCUAAAUGGGAGGUAUACGUCUUCUAAAGCUAAAUACCGGCCAGAGACCGAUAGCGCACAAGUAGAGUGAUCGAAAGAUGAAAAGCACUUUGAAAAGAGGGUUAAAAAGUACGUGAAAUUGUUGAAAGGGAAGCGGUCACGACCAGACUUGGGCUUGUCAAUCAUCCGGCGUUCUCGCCGGUGCACUUGGCGGGCUCAGGCCAGCAUCAGUUUACGCCGGGGGAUAAAGGCUUCGGGAACGUGGCUCCCUCGGGAGUGUUAUAGCCCGUUGCGCAAUACCCUGGGGUGGACUGAGGUCCGCGCAUUGCAAGGAUGCUGGCGUAAUGGUCGUCACCGACCCGUCUUGAAACACGGACCAAGGAGUCGUCUUCGUAUGCGAGUGUUCGGGUGUCAAACCCCUACGCGUAAUGAAAGUGAACGUAGGUGAGAGCUUCGGCGCAUCACCGACCGAUCCUGAUGUUCUCGGAUGGAUUUGAGUAAGAGCAUACGGGGCCGGA
rnacentral:rRNA from 1 species